rnacentral:snRNA from 1 species
GUGCUCACUUCGGCAGCACACAUACUGAAGUUGGAACAAUACAGAGAAGAUUAGCAUGGCCCCUGCGCAAGGAUGAAGUGCAAAUUUGUGAAACAUUCCAUAUUUUU